UGGUGAUGACAACGGCCAUCAUGCAGCACCUGACUCUCCAGGGCUCCUGCCCCGCCCUGGUGCCAUUGGUUGCCCCCAACAAGGAGUCACAUCUACCCGUGGCGCCCACGGGAGUGGGGACAGUGGAGUCACGAGGUGAACUGACAUGCCCAAGGCCACACAGUUCCUAACGGUCAGAGCCAAAACUUGAAUGGCCAGCUAGUUCCAGGAAUCCCCUCUCAUCACCCGGUUACUUCUAGCCAGGUCCGCUCCGCCAGGAGCUUCAAUCCACCGUGUGCCCAGAGAUACUCAACUACAAAUAUCCCUCGCAUCGCCCUAGGGAAUGAUUCGUCCAGUGGGAGACCGGGCGGAAGGAAUCCGGAAUGUGGACUAACCCCACGGGGCUGCCCCUGGAGAAGAGGCCUGUGAUUGUCCAGGUCUGUCUGUGCCUGGAGGGUAAGUCAGGAGAAGGGGCGAGACCACUGUCCUCCGAGCCACCCUCUCCACGACUCUAUCUGCCCGACUCCUGUGCUAGUGCUUAGCAGGUCCCAAACCAGCGUGGGACGCAGAGCCCUAAAAUAAUACACGAACCUCUUUCUCUUGUUCGCACCCACUCAAGGUGAGAUACCACGAAAUGCGACUGGAAGAAAUGUCUCGUGGGUCAUUUCUGGGAUGUGGGAUGGGAUAAGAUGGUGGGAGCCUCGGAGGUAAGGGAAUGGGAGGAGAUAACACAGGAGGGGAACAUAAAGGUGCAGGAUGUUAGGGUCGGAUGGCUUGGGAUGGGCUGGGGAAACUGAGGCCACAUGGUAGGGAGGCCUCUCUGUGCACAGUUGGACUCUCAUCUCGGGACACACAUUCAGAACGCGGCAGUCCCUUCCCCAGUUGCUCGGCAGGUGCCAGCAUCGGGAGAGAGGGAGCGGACGACUCUUCAGGAGGCUGGCACGGGUCCCAAGCCAUCUGUUCCCAACUUCCUCCUGCGUGGGUGGUGGCGACACGUCCCCAGCCGGCCCCCGCGCCUCUCACCAGCCGUCAACACGCCCUCACUCUCUCCUUGUGUGUGUUGUCAGAUCUUCCCAAUAUAGCAGCCCGGAGUCUGUCAACAGUUCUGUUCCAUGCCUACUUCCCCUCCCCAAAGGAUGCCAAGUCUGCUGGCCCCUCCCUCGAUGGGGGCAUCUCCCGUCAUGCCUCACUCUCAGCCCCGGCAAGAGGAGACCUCCCCAGAGGUGCUUGGAGAAGCCACCCCAGCUUCCGUCGUCCAGGUCCCUUGGAUGGGACCCGGGCCAGGAUGCAUCUGAGUGGCACUAGGGAAGAGGAGUCCAGGCGACCGGGGAUCGGCUGGACGUGGGGAAGAGGGGAGUGGAAACUGAAGGUGACACUUGGGGCUCUGACUUGAAAUGACUUGGGGAAGAUGGUCCUAUUCACUGAGGUGGGGGGUCCUGGAGAAGGAGCGGUUUGGGGACGGAGAAAGAGAGAUGAGCUUGAGAUCCAAGGAGACAGAAAGGACUGAGAGCUCCUCAAGGGAAUGUCCUUGUGCACAUGUGGACUGGAAGCUAAGGAGAGAGGUCUGGACUUGAAGAAGGUGCCAGAAGGUGGAAUGCAGUCAUCCACGGGAGCACACCCAUUUGCUCCAGUAGCAUUCGGCAGUCAGCGUUGUCACUAAAGCAAUCCCAAUGACUCACUUUACAGAAUUCCCCUCGUGCAUCCCACCAGGGUGCUGCGGGACGGACUGGCCUCCGUCCCCAGAUGUCUGGGACGCAUCCCAGCAGCUGCCUUCUCUUUCCCCCUUCCAGCCGCCUGUGUUCUACCCUCCAGGCAACAGAGAGUGUGACCUGGUCUGAGCAUCAGGAGCCCCGGACCCCAUCCUAGCUUUGACCACUGACUUUGGGAAUCGAAACAAAUCAUUUUCUCUCUUAGCCUCCACCUCCUCAACGGUGAAAUGGGAACAAAUAUGGCAGAUACUCUACACACUUAAGGAAUUUGGGUGAAAACUGCCCAAUGAUCUGGCCAGAUCCCCUGAGUCCCGUCCGUCUGCCCCCUGCCCCCACCCCGCCAUGGGACCCACGGCGGAGCCUGCCCCAGGUGUGUGGCACACCGUCCCCAUCCUCGGUUGCCUCGUCCUCCAGGGGGGCUCCAGGACACUGCUCUGGUCUCCUCCAGCCUGCACGGACCCCUCUGCCCCCCAUGCUUCACCAGAUGACCCCGCAGAUCAGAAGAUACCACUAAUAAUGCUCA